rnacentral:tRNA from 1 species
GAGAUAUUAGUAAAGCAUUACAUGACUUUGUCGAAGUCAAAUCAUAGGAUAACCCCCUAUAUAUCUC